GUAUCCCAGACAAACGUCGCAGACAACUUGCAAAUUAAAAGAGAAAAGAGAAGCAUAAACUUUACAAUUCUUUCCGACGAUGAUGACGAUUCCUCAUUCUCAACUUUCCCAGAAGUAACUGAGUUAUCAGUAAUAGAGAAUGUUAAUUCUACUGAGUCGAUUCUGCUGGACAACGACCAAACCAUCGAAGUAGUAGGUCCAGUCUGCCUGAGUCGUUAUGAACAGUGCUUACACAGUUCAGACUGCUGUGAACCUUACGAUUGCAUUAGCAGGGAAGGGCCUAACUCCACAUUUCACUGUGAUCAACCCGCUAGAUAAUAUUUCAUUAUAAACUAAUCAGUUAGCAGAUAGUUGUCAAGAGGGGAAGAUGUUGACAAGUUGUAUAAACGCCAUUUGAUAGCCUUUACGCUUAUAAAAGUUUAGAUCACAUUAUUGAUAAGUUGUGUACUUUUGUAAAUAGCUUUGUGUAUGUUUGUAAAUAAAUUCAGAUGUGUGUAAAAUUAACUAAAUCUUCUAACAUUCCUACAACGGUUUUCCAUUAAACUCUGAUUAUUUGUUUUUUUUAAACAUCAACUGUAGGUAC